CACCAGCUCCAGCUUGGAAGCAUCUGGGAUUUGAAAUGGUGGACCGUGAGGCCAACUUCACCAGCAACGUGGUGCUGGUGCUGCUGACCCAGCAGAAUGUCACCGUGGAAGCUGGCACCAGCUGCCAGGUGGCCGGCUGGGGGACCUGGCAGACUGGGGGACGUCUCUCGUGCUUCCCUUCAUCAAUGUGACCCUGAACCCCGAAGACUGCUGUCACCACAACAGUGUGUGCACUGGUGUGCUCACCCGCCAGGGUGGAAUCUGCCAGGGUGAUGGGGGCAGCCCCCUCAUCUGCAAUGGUCUGGCCCAUGGUGUGGCCUCCUUCACCAUGGAGCCCUGCAGCUGGGGUCCCGACUUCUUCACCUGUGUGGCACGCUUCCAAAACUGGAUUAAUAGUGUCCUCAACCCCCCUGCUGGCCUGAGGGAAGCCCCAUCAAGCCGUGCGGAGCCUGUGACCUGCUGUGGAACCCAGCCUUGACCUUUGUAUCCCGGGACGCUCUGCAUGCCCCCACACCUCCAGGCCUGCCCCCCACCUCCAGCCCCUGUACUCAUGACUCUAAGAAGCCACUUCUCCUCUGCUCCUGAUUUCUGCUUCACCAGGGUGGACAGGGCCUGGGAGCGGGAGACAGGCCCCAUGGCUCUGGGGAGGGUGAAUGGAACAUUAGUCGGCAUUAGGGGCAUCGCCCCAAGUGCAGUAAUUGUACAGAUGCUGAGAAACAGAGACUGUCGUUAUGUCCACCUGGCAGAGGGGAUGCUGAGUUUCAGAGAGGUUCGGUGACUCACCUGAGGUCAUAGAGCUCGUGUGAACUUUGAACCCAGACCUAUGUGAUCCUGGGGUCCCUUCACCCCCUCUCCUUUUGGUGGAGGUUAUUUUGUGCAGCAGCAUGCACGGGAAACCUGGAAACAA